AAAGCCAUACUGGCAGUCCGAACGAUGAAGCUUUCAAGCUUUGGCUAGAAGUGGAUUAAGAGGGCGCACGAGUGAGUAAAGCAUAGGUUAUGUGCCCUUUAGUCUGGGAUAGCCACUGGAAACGGUGAUUAAUACUGGAUACUCCCUACGGGGGAAAGGGGCUUUCAAUAAAGAAUUUCUCUUUUUAGUGUUUUGUGUUGUUGGCACAAAAUUCUAGUAUUUGGAAUGAGAAAUUGAUGUUGUGAAGCAAUUUGUGCGGAGACUAGACUUAGUGUCUGUCGCACAAGCAAACUGCGAACUCAUCGAUUUAUCGUCCAAAGACGAAUUUUUUAUUGAAAGCCUUCGCUAAAGGAUCAGCCUAUGUCCUAUCAGCUUGUUGGUGAGGUAAUGGCUCACCAAGGCUAUGACGGGUAUCCGGCCUGAGAGGGUGAUCGGACACACUGGAACUGAGACACGGUCCAGACUCCUACGGGAGGCAGCAGUAGGGAAUAUUGCUCAAUGGGGGAAACCCUGAAGCAGCAACGCCGCGUGGAGGAUGAAGGUUUUAGGAUUGUAAACUCCUUUUGUAAGAGAAGAUUAUGACGGUAUCUUACGAAUAAGCACCGGCUAACUCCGUGCCAGCAGCCGCGGUAAUACGGAGGGUGCAAGCGUUACUCGGAAUCACUGGGCGUAAAGAGCGCGUAGGCGGGUGGUCAAGUCAGAUGUGAAAUCCUGUAGCUUAACUACAGAACUGCAUUUGAAACUGAUCAUCUAGAGUAUGGGAGAGGUAGGUGGAAUUCUUGGUGUANGGGUAAAAUCCG
rnacentral:rRNA from 1 species